GAUACAAAUGGUGAUGGAGUUCACCAUUGAACCGCCCGCGAGGCUGAUAACUCCUGUUUUUAG
rnacentral:ncRNA from 2 species